GCGGUCGCUGCCGCCUCCGCUACCGCUAGUGGAAGAAGAUGGCGGAAGGCGGAGCAGCGGACCCGGACACCCAGC
rnacentral:miRNA from 14 species